GAUGAAGAACGUAGCGAAAUGCGAUAAGUAAUGUGAAUUGCAGAAUUCAGUGAAUCAUCGAAUCUUUGAACGCACCUUGCACCCUUUGGCAUUCCGAAGGGUAUGCUCGUUUGAGUGUCAUUGUACUCUCACACUCCCAAUUGCUUUGGAUUGGGAGCGGUGGACUUGGGUGUUGCUGCUUGACUGAGGCUCACCUGAAAUAUGUUAGUGCACCUCUUGAUUGGACAUAGUACGGCGUGAUAAGUGUGUUCGCCGGCUCCUCGCAAAGAGGGUGGCCGAUCGGGAGCUCUGUUGCUUCAAACUGUCUUCGGACAAUCUUCUGGCGACUUGACCUCAAAUCGAGUAGGACUACCCGCUGAACUUAAGCAUAUCAAUAAGCGGAGGA
rnacentral:misc_RNA from 1 species